rnacentral:rRNA from 1 species
CACGUAGGGCGCGAGCGUUGUCCGGAAUUAUUGGGCGGAAAGAGCUCGUAGGCGGCCUGUUGCGUCCGCUGUGAAAGCCCGGGGCUUAACCCCGGGUCGGCAGUGGAUACGGGCAGGCUAGAGGUAGGUAGGGGAGAAUGGAAUUCCCGGUGUAGCGGUGAAAUGCGCAGAUAUCGGGAGGAACACCGGUGGCGAAGGCGGUUCUCUGGGCCUUACCUGACGCUGAGGAGCGAAAGCGUGGGGAGCGAACAGG